CCCCACACGAGUGGAGGUUGUCAGAUGCAUCUGCUGUCCUGGUGUUUGAUUGCAAGUGAUUUUCCUAUCGGACCAAAGCACUCACGCAGCAGAGAAAGACAUGGAGAUCGACUGAGAGAUUCCUUUAAAACAAACAGGCUCACUAGGAGAGCGUCUUCAAAGACUUGGACUGUGUGUCACCAGUAUGAGGCUUGGCAACUGUCGAUAGGGCUGGUGAACAAAAUCAGACUUGCACUCAAGGACCAGUGCUGGAGCCAAAAUAAUGGAAAGGAAAAAUACAUUUGGGAGAUGAGAGGAUGCAGGUCCCGGUCCUCUCAUAAAUGGGGAGGCUGUGUUGCCUCCUGCACAGUCAACGGGGAGGACGCCGUCUUCAAGCGGAGAACCGGACUCGCCAUGAGGAGAGCGCGCGGAGCGUCCGGCCGGCCGGAGCCGCCGCGCAGGUAGCGAGGGCGCAGCCGGACGACGAGCGCGAUUCGCCGCCGAGCCCAAGGACGUACGAGGCGGCCAGACUCAGCCG
ensembl:lncRNA